rnacentral:lncRNA from 1 species
UGCAUAACCAACUUGUAAGUAACAAAUCAUAUCUCUAGGUUUGAAGACUUAUAUGAUAUUACCGUCUCACGAUCACUCGAGAUAGAAUUCCAUGAAGUGAUUCCAGUGAGCGUGGGUUGAGUCCAAUGCUCAGAACUUAUGAGCACUCAUGAUUGUUGUAGCCUUGUCCAAGACCUCUACAACCAAACAUGACAGUCUUGAUUCAUAUCUACUUCCAACAUAUGACCGACUGUGGAGGUUUGAAUAAUAUGUUAUACCAAACAAAAUUAUUCUGGAAGUCAAAACAUGCAAAAGAAAUAUAGUAAACGAUCGACAAGAGAUAGCAACACUUUACUCAUAAAUAAAACACCUUUUAUUCAUCAUCAAAUGUCAAUUACACUUUACAAAUUUCUGGGUUAUCUAACUACUAAAACUUAUAUCAUCCUUCAGCCCUAUGCUCCGAGCAUGCUGGAGAUGCUUAACCCUACUCAGUCCCUUCGUGAGGGGAUCUGCUGGGUUCUCAUCCGAUGAUACCCUCUUUGCCACGAGGAGUCCUUCUUCGAUCCGAUGUCUAAUGAAAUGGUAUUUUCUGUCGAUGUGUCUGGAUCUCCCAUGAUCCCUUGGUUCCUUGGCUAAGGCAACAGCACUUUCACUAUCACAGAAAAUUUCCAUUGGCUCUUUAAUAGCUGGUACAACUCCAAGGUCUCCAAUGAAGUUCUUCAGCCAUAUCGCCUCCUUUGCUGCUUCACUAGCUGCAAUAUACUCUGAUUCACAAGUAGAAUCUGCCACUGUCUCUUGCUUGGAACUCUUCCAAGAAAUUGCUCCUCCGUUUAGGGUAAAGACCCAGCCCGACUGAGAGCGGAAAUUAUCCCUAUCAGUCUGGAAGCUAGCAUCACUAUACCCUACAACUCUCAAGUCAUCACUCCCACCGAGGGUAAGGACCCAGUCCUUAGUCCUCCGUAGGUACUUGAGGAUAUUCUUUACCGCAGUCCAGUGUGCCUUGCCAGGGUUCGCCUGAUACCUGCUAACCAUGCUCAAGGCAAAAGCUACAUCGGGUCGAGUACACGUCAUAGCAUACAUGAUCGAUCCUACAGCCGAAGCGUAAGGUGUUCGACUCAUUUCUGCUAUCUCAGCCUCAGUGCUAGGGCUUUGUGUCUUACUCAAUCUGGUGUUACUCUGGAUGGGUAACUCUCCUUUCUUGGAAUCCUGCAUGCUGAAUCUCUUCAGCACCUUAUCCAAGUAGGUACUCUGACUAAGUCCAAUUAGUCUUUUACUCCGAUCUCUCAAGAUUCUUAUCCCUAGAAUAUAGGCAGCUUCACCAAGGUCCUUCAUAGCGAAACACUUCCCAAGCCAGGACUUUACUUCCUGCAGGGUUGGAAUGUCGUUUCCUAUGAGUAGUAUGUCAUCCACAUACAAUACCAAAAAGCUAACUAUACUCCCACUAGCCUUGACAUACACACAAGAUUCAUCUUCACUCCUAGAAAAGCCAAAUUCCUUGACCUUUUCAUCAAAGCAAAGAUUCCAUCUGCGAGGUGCUUGCUUCAAUCCAUAAAUGGAUUUCUCAAGCUUACACACUCUAUUAGGGUACUCGUUGCUGACAAAACCCUCUGGCUGACUCAUGUAAACAUCUUCAGCCAACUUUCCAUUAAGGAAAGCGGUUUUGACAUCCAUCUGCCAUAUUUCAUAGUCAUGAAAUGCAGCUAUGGCUAACAGAACCCGAAUAGACUUAAUCUUGGCUACCGGAGAAAAGGUCUCAUCAUAAUCCACUCCAGGAAUUUGAGAGAAGCCCUUUGCAACCAGUCUAGCCUUAUAAGUGUGUACUUUACCAUCCAUGUCGGUCUUCUUCUUGAAGACCCAUUUGCACCCUACUGUCUUACGACCUGGUACAUUUUCAACCAAGUUCCAAACUUGAUUGUCAUACAUGGAUUGUAUCUCGCUAUCCAUAGCCUCUUUCCAUUUAGCAGACUCGGGGCCUGCCAUGGCUUCCUCGUAGCUGUUAGGGUCAUCUUGACUUACUAGUGUCUCAUCACUAAUAAGUGUCUCACCUUCUGCAGUAAUAUGGAAUCCAUAGUAAUGCUCAGGUGCACUCCUAACUCUCGUGGAACGUCUCAGAGGUACAGAUUUGUCAAUUGGCUCAACAGGAGUUUCCUCCUCAAGUUGAGGGCUAGAGUUUGAAGUUCCUUCACCGCUUGAUUCUUGAAUUUCUUCAAGAUCAAUUUGCCUCCCACUGUCUCCUUGGCUUAUAAACUCUCUUUCUCGAAAGACUCCUCUUCUUGCUACAAAGACCACAUUGUCACUAGGUCUGUAGAAGAGGUAACCAAAGGAUCGCUGUGGGUAACCGAUGAAAAUACACCUCUCGCUUCGAGGUUCGAGCUUAUCAUGAGUCUCGCGUCUCACGAAAGCCUCGCAACCCCAAAUCUUGAUGUGGUCUAGUUUAGGUACUUUACCAGUCCACAUCUCGUGAGGAGUUUUGGCAACUUUCUUUGUAGGGACUAGAUUAAGAAUAUGGGCGGCAGUCUCUAAGGCAUACCCCCAGAAUGAGAUUGGUAGCGUAGCUCGACUCAUCAUGGAACGAACCAUAUCUAACAAGGUUCGAUUACGCCUCUCAGCCACACCAUUCAACUGUGGUGUCCUGGGAGGUGUCAAUUGUGAGACUAUCCCACAUUCCCUUAGAUAGUCGAGGAACUCUGAACUAAGAUACUCACCACCACGAUCGGAUCGAAGCAUCUUAAUGUUCCUGCCCAAUUGAUUCUCGACUUCCUGUUUAAAUUCCUUAAACCUCUCGAAAGUCUCUGACUUAUGCUUGAUCAAGUAGACAUAUCCAUAUCUACUAUAAUCAUCAGUAAAAGUCAAAUAAUAACGAUUAGCAUCCCUUGUGGCAUGUUUGAAUGGUCCACACACAUCCGUGUGUAUAAGGUCCAACAAACCUUCACCCCUCUCACACGAACCUGUGAAGGGUGACUUUGUCAUUUUUCCAAGUAAGCAUGAUUCGCAACUAUCAUCUGACUUUAGGUCAAACGACUCCAAGACUCCAUCCUUUUGGAGUUGGCCUAUGCGUUUCUUGCUUAUAUGUCCAAGACGACAAUGCCAUAAAGAUGCUUUAUCCAAGUUAUUAUUAGUAGAAUCAAUACACAAAACAUUAUUUCCCAAGUUAUCUACAACAGAUACAGCUUCAUACACACCAUCACAAGGUAAUGCUUUAAAAUAAAAGACAUUAUUAUAGAAAACAUCUAUAGAACCAACUUCAUUAUUAAAUGAAAAGGUAAACCCUUGUUUGUACAAAGCAUGAAAGGAAAUAAUAUUUCUUGCCAUUCCUGGCGAAUAACAACACUUAUUCAAAUCUAAACUAAACCCACUACUUAGCGAUAAAGUAUAAACUCCAAUCUUGGUAACAGGUAUAGCUUUCCUAUUCCCCAUGAUCAAGUUUAUCCUUCCUUGCUCCACAUCCUCACUUCUUCUUAGUCCCUGCAAGUCACAACAAAUGUGAAUACCACACCCGGUAUCAAGGACCCAAGAAUUAGAAUGGGGUGAGUUAUUAGAAAUGAUAGUGUAAAUACCUGCAUGGUUGGGUUUAACUUUCCCAUCCUUCACAUCUUGCUGGUACUUUGGGCAGUUCCGCUUCCAAUGUGCCUUUUCAUGGCAAUAGAAGCAUUCAGCCUCUUUUGGGUCAGAAGAAGGAGUGAUGAAACCUUUCUUGGUUCCACUUGAAGAAGAGCCAUCAAGGGUCCUAGCCUUGGUACCCUUCGAAGAACUCUUUCUCUUCUUCCCUCGUCCUUUCCCGAUUGCCAAGACAGGGGCGGAGUUGGUAGGAGUAGGAGUAGUAACAACCGCCUUACCCUUAAGACUACUUUCCGCGGUCUUUAAGAGUCCUUGAAGUUUGCUGAGAGUGACCUCUUCCUUGUUCAUGUGGUAUGUCAUGCGGAAUUGAUCAUAACAUGAAGGUAAGGAGUGCAAAAUGAUAUCUAUUGCAAACUCCUCGGGGAAGUUCACAUUAAGCUUUAGCAAACGGUCCACAAAUCUUUGCAUUUUCUACAUGUGGCCCGUGAUGGGUUCACCAUCCUUCAUUCAGGUUGUUAUCAUGGAGGAGAUGAUUUCAUACCUCUCUUGUCUUGAACUUUGAUGGUAUCUUUCCAUCAAAUCUUGGUGCAUUUCAAAAGGGUAGAAGUCAUCGUAGGACUUUUGUAGGUCGGCUGUCAUAGUGGCCAUCAUGAUGGAUGACACCUUGGUGGCAUCCCUUUCAUGUGACCUAAAGUCAGCGAUCUUUUGAGGAGUAGCAACUGUCUCAUCAAUCUCCUUAAGCUCCUUAUCGAGGACAUAUUCUUUGUCCUCGUAGCGGGUAAUCAUUCGGAUGUUUCUGAUCCAUUCAUUAAAGUUGGAUCCAUCAAAAGUGACUUUCCCACACAAGUUCAUUAGAGAAAAGGAGCCAUUAUGAUUAGAGCCAGAAGCAGCAGUGUUUGCAGACAUCUGAAAAGAAGAAGAGUUUAGUUUAGAAAUAAAGAUAGUCCUUAAUAAAACACCCAAAUGUAGUAUUAAGGCUAGGACCGAAUCAUAAUAUAUUAUACUUAGAAGAGGUAUGCCAUAAUCUAAGUAAUAACAUAUUUGAAAGGUAGGUGAAUGACGAUUCACUAAUUUCCACCAAAGACGAAAUAUUAAAAAUAUUUAAUUUGGUUCUUAGAAACUCCUAGAUUCUUUGAGAUUCAAUGAACUUUUCAAAGGCAUGUUUCAAUCUCGAGUGUGCCCUCCAAGUUUUGUGACUGGGAUACCGAGGAUCACAAAACGAGGUGUGAAGUAACCAUGCAAAUCACUUGGUACCCUUAAAGUUUAUCACUCAAUCGAUGUGCCGGUUAACCACACACGCUCCAUCGAUACUAUAAUAAACCCUAAGUCACCCUUUACCUACCUUGUUAAGUCCAAGUUAGUGUGCCGGUUAACCACACACGCUCCACCAACGACUUAAUCAAAGUGUAAAGUGUAAUUUCAUGGAAUAGCACCUUAUUCACAUUUUUCCUAAAGUAACUAAGAUUGGGAAUUUAAUAAAACAUUUAGUUACUUUAUAAUAUUCAUCAUACUUUGAAUGAGAAUUAAUAAGUCCUUGUCUUACCCGUUCGGCUAACGACCCUCCACCGAUCAAGCAAGCGGUGGGUGAGAGUGGACACCCAUUAAGUCACCAUUUUAUAGGCAACAACCUUAUACCCACCUUAUAGACCGGCUUCGUGAAUGAGGCGUACUAGCGGUAAGACGACUUUGUUCUUAUACAUAUAUAUAUAAUUAUUAAAUUAUAAUAUUAUAAGUAUAAGGGUUGAAUUUUAACUUUUAAAAUUCUAAGGGUUGGAACUAAAGUUUUAACAUGACUUUACUUGUUCCAAAACUUGAGGGCAAGUUUUGUAAACUUUCAAAACUUUUCAUUUCUUGUAACUUAUGAGUUAAUUAGAGUAUUAAAAAUGAAGACUCUUCAUUUUUAUAACCCAUGUGUUCUUUUAAUGUUUUUAAAACAAAGUGACUUUUGGUUUUCCAUAACUUGAGGACAAGUUAUGGACUCCAUUAAAACACAUAAUGAUCAUGAAUUAAUCUACCACAUAGGUUACAAAUAAUUCCUAUGAUCAUCUAAACAUCAUAAGAUCAAGAACAUGAAUAUGAACACUUUCAUGAAUCAAAAAUUACACUUAAAAACUUGUAAUUUUGAUAAUUUGUCAUUGUAAAUGGAUUAACAUGAACAUUACACCAACUAAAACAAGUUUUAAAACACCAAAACAGUUUAGGGUAAUGUUCCUAGUCCAUUUCCAGCAACAAAAAUCGAAAUUCUGAAAACUGCAGCCUCUACUCGUCGAGUGCAUGAACAGACUCGACGAGUAGCUUGCAUUUGGUCAUGGACUCGUCGACUCCCCCCAUGGACUCGGCGAGUUCAUACGGGUAGAAAGCAGAAAACUCGAUUUUUCAAGCAGUUUGCACAAAAAUCAAACAAGCAAGCCUAGGCUCUGAUACCACUGAUGGGUUUUGAGCAUUCUAACACUUCCUAAGUGUACAUGCAACCCUAAUAACCUUGGAUCUAUGUUUGUCUAAUAAUCAUGCAAAGUUGUUUUCCAAGGUUAUGAACCUAUCUAGCAUACAUGGGGUACAAUUUUCUUUGUAUAAAAGAUAGAACUACAUACCUUGUUGUUGAAAGUGUUCCUUGAAACCUUGUGAGCCUAGCACCUCAAGUGUGAUGCCUCAAAUGCUUCACACAACACCAAAUGCAAAGAAUAAACUUGAGAGAAUACUCUAACACAUGCAAAAUCGGCCAAGCCCUCUUGUUUCUUAGUGUAGCCGAUUUUGGGGAGUGUUACAUUGCUUAUAUAGUGUGUUGCAUUAGGUAAACCCUAAUGUUCCAUGACUCUUCAUUUCUUGAUCCAUGGGUUAACUCCAUGGAGCAUCUGGAACAUCUNNNNNNNNNNNNNNNNNNNNNNNNNNNNNNNNNNNNNNNNNNNNNNNNNNNNNNNNNNNNNNNNNNNNNNNNNNNNNNNNNNNNNNNNNNNNNNNNNNNNNNNNNNNNNNNNNNNNNNNNNNNNNNNNNNNNNNNNNAAACUAAUUAAAUAAUAUUAUUAAUAUAUUAGAACUUAUAAUAUAUUAAUAAACCAUAUGUGUUAUUUCUCUUAUUUAGUUUAUCCAAUUGCAUGGUGCCAUGCAACCCAAAUGGACCAUGCCGGGUCGGGUCAAGUACUUACCAGAAACAGUUAUGGACUUAGACACCUUAUCCAACAGUUACGUCUUAGGAUCAUUCCUUUUGGCCCAGUUUUGUAAACGGUUUGGACCUGUCCAACCAUGCAUUAUUUUAUUCUAGGGUUUUAGUAUUUAAGGUGCAUGCAUGCAUCCUUUGUUAAAAAGUUUUUUUUGAUAACUCUCAUUAUAGUAUUGUAAACCCUAGCUCGCCUCUACAGUGGAAGUUCUUAAUCGAGCUCUGCUAAGGCAUGACUACGUUUGAAUCAUAAGCUUUAUAUUGAUUCUAUAUUGUGUUCAUUGUCUUGUUUGAUUUAAUAGUUUGUUCUUCAUUAAUAUACAUGUGAAAGAUCUAAACGAUCAAGAUAUUUUAUCUCAUCAAUUGGUAUCAGAGCAGGAGGCUAUGUAAUUCAUAUACAUCUCUUAUGUUGAAGAAGUUAUUAGGGUUUUCCGCAUUGAUUGAUAUUAAUUGAGCUGUCAUUCCUCAUUGGAAUAUCUCAUUAAUUGUUGUACUUGCCCUAACGAUAAAUUACAAGUCUGAUCUUAAACAGGUUAUCAAUCAAACAUCAUCACAAUGUCAAUGGACGAUUCACAAUCCAAUCCAAUCAACAUCUCUAAUAGUAUUCGAUAAACAACAAUGAUUCCAAUCCUAUAUACUCAGGAUUAGGAAGUCUGGACGCACCACUUCGAAGAUUAUGUAAUCGGUUCAGAAGAUAAUGGGUAUUUGAUUUGGGAAGUAAUCACAGUUGGUCUGUUUGCUCACUCAAGCACUUAUAAAAUUGUCAAAACUCAAAAGACGUACAAUCAGCUCGUGAAUGAUGUGAAAGACAUUCCUCAAGACGAGAAAGAGAAGUUUUAGUGCAAAAUUGAAGACUUAAGAAUGAUUAGGUUUGCUUUACAAUCGGACACGUUUCGAAUGGUGGGUUCAUGUGCUACAACGAAGGAGAUAUUGGAUAGGUUAAAGGAAUUGUAUUCUACUGAUGAAGAUCUGGAACAUUCGAUUCAAACUUUGUUAGUUUCUGAAUUUGGUGAUUUCAAACAGAAGCCCGAAGAGAAACUUAUUCAGGCUUUUGACCGAUUUAAUCAUCUUCUCAGUAAGAUGAUAAAGCAUGGGAUCGAAAGGAAGGUUAUUGAGCAGAAGGUUACCUUCAUGAAUGGUCUCAGACCCGAAUGGAUGGCAGUUGUGUCUACAGUAAAGGCACACGGACAAUUCAAAUUCUAUUCUCUGGCGAAACUAGUGGGAAUACUGAAGUCCCAUGAAAGUGCAGUGACAAAGGAAACGAAUGUGGUUUCUAGCUUGGGUUCGUUAGCUCUUAUCUCCAAAGGAAAAAGUGUUGUUGAAGAAGAAGAAGAAUUAGAUGUUGCUGAAUAUGAUCUAAUUGGUGAAGAGCAUGCCCUGAUGGUUUCCAAUCCAAGAAAGUUUAUCAAAAGGAAGUUCCCCGCCAAUCAGAACCGAAGCUCGCAGGGAAGUUAUAGUUCUGAAAAAGUGAAGGAGGAACCGAAGAUGGGUUCAAAGUCUGAAGAAACUAAGAAGGAAACGAAGAUUGGUGGUGACUCAGGUUUUGAUAGAAAUUACUGUGGAGGCAAGAAUCACUUUGCCAAAGACUAGAUGUUGAAGAAGUCUGAAAGAGUUGAUGAAGACGAUGAGGAAGCGAACAUCCUGAAACGAUUGGAGGAUAUCAAGAAAAAGAAAUCAGCAGCUAACAAUAAUGAUGAAUUUGGUGGAGUGCAGGUGUGGUCCACAGAUUCAGAGGACAAAGAAGUAAGAAAGCCUACUCAUGGCAAGGCUCUGCUGGUGAAAGAAGAAAAGGUUGAGGAAGAUGUUUGAUGGUGAUGGAAGGUGUGUCACAGAUGUGAGGAUACACAACAGAUGGUGGACUGGAUGACGAGCAGGAGCGAGAGGACAGAUGUUUCGCUGCGAAACCUGUCAGUGCACAUAUCAACGAAUGUGAUGAGUUGAUCAAGAAGGUACACAAUAUUCUCAUUUCUCUGAAAAUUCCUAUUACUAACUAUGAAAUGGAACUGAAUGGACUAAAAUCUAAAUUUUCUAGUUUAAGUAGUAGUCUUACCCAAACUCGUGUCACAAACUCUAACUUGACUAAUCAAAUUAGCAGGAUCUCGUCGAAGUGCAAGGAGAGGAGAAUCUGGAUUGAGCAGAAGGAGAGGGAAUUAAUUAGAUCUAAGGAUGAGUCAAUCUAUUUGCAACAAGACAAUCUUAAGCUUUUAAAACAACAAAAUGGUUUUUUUUGAUUGAGAAAAGAUUAUAUUUUAAUAUCACUCAGUUACAUCUCAAUUGUGAAAUAGGAAAGAAGAUACAUUGCAUGAUUUUACCCUUCUUUGAGUUGAAGGAGGAUGAAGUCGAUGCCUAAGCUUACAACUGUGAAAAUGUUGUAUCUUCUGAUGAAAUAUAUCAUGCUUACAAAAUUGGUCUUGACAAAAUAGAGUCCUACAUAAAGUCAAAAUACCAUAAGGACAUGCUCAAAAAUCUGUUGGAUUAAAACGAUAAACUGAAAUUGAGAACCAAAACUGUACAAAAAUUUGACUCGUUGAAUGCAAAAUUAAGUUCAGAAAAUAAAAUUGAUGUUGAAAAUGCAUAUGAACUUAAUAAGGAUGAUGACAUGAGUGAAAUCUCUGUAAAGGAUGUGGUGGACUGUUCUAAAUUUGUCAAGAGCGAACCCGAAACAAGUAAAAAUCUCAUUUCUGAAAACUCUGUUGAGUUUGCUCGCUCAUCGAUAGACAAGACCAAAGUCCUCAAGGCAAAAGUUGUUGUAUAUCAAAAGGUUCAAACCACUCCAAAUCAAGUUUACACAGUACAAGGAGUCACACCACAAUAAACAGCCGAACUCACAACAUUAGUAGAAGAAGAUAAUGUUGAUGGAUGUGAUGAGUUUUUCUGGUCAGCACCGAUAGAUAACGCUGAUGAAACAGAACGUCUAUCUCAGAAAACAUCAUGGAGAGUGAGGAGUAGGUAUGUGGCAGAACCACUUAACGAACCUACACGAUAUGAUGUGCCAAGUACAAGUGGUACCAAAAAAUCUUCAAGUGAACCAGUGAUGCAUCUAGUGAGACAUGUUCGUCAAAGAGUGAAAGUCAUGCUCAAGUACCAAAGAAAAAGUCCAAUAUUCACAAAAAUCCAAAACAGGUGGCAGAACGAAAGCACCAAUAUAACUUGAGAUACAAGAAGAAUCUCUCAGAAAGAAAACAAUUUUGGCGAUCCCAGAAUCCUUAUUACGUUAGUUAUGAAAAGACAAAUAAGUCACGAGGAGAACCAAGAGCCAACGAAAGGAGAGUUUCGGACAUCAGGUGUUCCACAACCAAAAUGGUAACUUUGGUCCUCAUGAGAAUAGCACCCGAAAGGAAGGUUUCGGUCCUCAACAUGUAAGCACCCAAAAGGAAGGUUUCGGUCCUCAACAUGUAAACAACCGAAAGGUUGGAUUUGGUCCAAGAUCCAAUUAUCAGAAGAACCGAAGGGAAGAAAGUUUUCAUUCUCAACCAAGGAAGAGCAAUAAUCGACGAUCUAAUCUUGCUACUAAACCUUAUUCUUCUCAUUCUUAUUCUAAUUCUCAUUCUUCAAAAGAUUCAAAGGGGAAAGGAAAUCUCUUUCCAGAAGAUGAUAGACCCUCGAAAGAAACUCAAAAGCAUGCAGGCGUCAAAACCACAAAUCCUACGUCUAAAUCAAAUGAGUCCAAGUCAAAUAAAAUCAAAGUUUUUACAAUAAAAAGAAAAGAUGAAACAACUCUAAUAAAAAGAACUUAUCUGGUUGAUGUUUCUCUUACUAUUCCCUGUCCUGUAAAAGGAUCACAAGGACCCAAGAAACUUUGGGUUCCUAAAUCUGCUUGAUAUUUUGUAGGUUAUUCGUGACGAGUAGUUCGACGAAGAAUGGUACAUUGAUAGUGGCUGCUCGCGUCACAUGAUAGGAAGGAGGGAAGAACUGAAGGAGUUUCGGUCUCUCAAGGAUGGCGGAACGGUGAAAUAUGGCAAUAAUUCGUUUGGAACUAUCAAAGGCUAUGGAAUGAUUACAAAUGGCGACUUCUCGAUCAGAAAGGUAGAAUACGUUGAAGGAUUGCAUCACAACCUCAUCAGUGUCUCACAACUGGUGGUUGGCACCGGAUUGAAGGUCUCAUUUGACGAUGAAGGCUCAGAGAUUGUCGAAAAGAAGUCAAAUAAUAUUCUGCUGAAGUCGAAGCUAAAGGGAGAAAUGUACCCUUUAAAUCUCAAUCCAAUUCGAGGGAAACCAGUUGUUUGCUUUCUAACGAAGGCACACUCAGACGAAAGUUGGUUAUGGCAUCGAAGGCUCUCUUAUCUCAAUUUCAAAGAUAUCAACAAGCUGGUACUUGGAGAUCACGUUUGAGGUCUUCAGUUCUCAAAUUUGAUAAAGAACAUCUAUGUGCAGCUUGUGAGAUGGGAAAGCAAAGUCGACAGAGUCAUCCUUCUAUUAUCAACACAAAGGUGAUAGAACCGCUAGAGCUACUACAUAUCGAUCUAUGUGGUCCUUCCUCUAUCGAAAGCAUUGGUAGAAACAAGUACAUACUUGUUAUCGUAGAUGAUUUCUCUCGCUUCAAAUGGGUAUUUUCUUGAAGCAAAAAUAUGUCACACCCCCAAACCAAGGAUGGCGGAAACGUCUGGGGGUAGAGGACUUCAUGUAUAGUAUCAUAACAACAAUGGCAAUAGUGAUAAAAGUAAACGCAACCAACAUAUAUAUAAUUGAAAGAGUUACACCAUUGUAUGAAUUACAUGCUUUAAAAUCAAUUACAAUAUGUUGACAAAAUAUGAAAUGUUUGACGCCUUAACGUCCCAUCCUCAAAAUGCACUUAAUUUCCUGUUUAGUGAUUUCCUGAGAAUACAAGUUAUUUGAAAAAGUGUCAACACAAAGGUUGGUGAGCUCAUAAGCAUUUGUAGAUGGUUUAUGAAAAGCUUUUUCUUGUAAAAGUAGUGUUUGUUCCAGAAAAAUCCAAUAUUUUCCUUUAUAAAGUUAUGGGGUCCUAAAUCCCAGAACCAAGAAUGAACAAGUAUUUUCUAUACUUAAUGAUAUAACCAUGGUUUUAAAUCGACAUAAAACCCUUUUUAAUUAUAUAAAUUCCCAUAAACUUUAUGAGUUGUUAACUUCCUAAGUAAGUCUCUAUAACCAUACUAUGACUGAAUGAACCUGCCACAACGUUUCUCAGGCGUCGCGAAACUGAUAUGACAUUUGUCACCACAGACCUGCCGGUCUAGCCGUUGCAUGCAGCUCAGGUGUGGGGUGUCUAACCAAUAUAGAUUUAUACACAACUAUCAAGUUCUCCCUACAAGAGACUCUGGAUAUAGCUACUAGGAAUUUAGAUCCCGCACUCGGACGUACGGAAAGAGAAUGUCUCACAAUUUAAGUUAACAAGUUUAUGUGUGGUGUGCGUGAAUGUAAAACCUUUUUGUAUGAAUGUAUUUGUAUGAUUGUGUUAUGUGAUGAAUCAUAAACUAUACCUAUUAUAGUUUAUCAAAACAAGGGUAAAAGUGGUAAUGUACAUAAACUAUACUUAACAUAGUUUAUUCAAAUGUUUGUAUUUAAUAGGUGUACUUUGAUUGUAACAAAUUGUUACUUCUAUACUUUGUCUAGAAAAAUCCAUUUGUUAACUGAUGUAUGUCUAUAAACUAAGACAAUAUUGUCAUAUAAUGCAAUAACAUAUAAUCACAUAAAGAUAUACACCUUGCUCAACAUGUUACAAGGUGAAAUGAAAUUGAUAGUAUUUUUCUGUUGAUAACAUUUUCUAUCCUUGUUAUUAGAAAAUUUGUAGAAAAAUCAUCAGAGGUCCAAAUCAGAAUCCAAAAUUUCUGGGAGUUUGGAUGAGUUUGGAAAAUGAGUCUAGUUUCCGCAUAAUUUUUAUCAUGAUUUUUAAUGACCUCUAACUUGUGUGAACAAGUCCAUAAUCACAGACUGGUCCGAAAUUAGGUUUGAAAUGAUAGGCAGUUUUGUAAAAAUCACCAUAAAUUGCAGAAAAAUCGUAUGGAGAUGUGCAAGUAGUCAUUUUAAAUCUAAGAACUGGAACUACUUGCACCUAAAACAAUUUUGAAAACUAAAAUGUUUAAGUUGUCCAAAACAGUCCGUGAAUGGAGUUCAACUUUUCUAAUGAAAGCUGUUAGAAAAGUUUGGUUAUAUUCUUGGUGUUUUAACUUGUAUUCCCCCCCCCCCUAAAAACUUAAAAAAACAUGAAAAUGUAGGGGUAUGAACUCACCUUGAGUGAUGUAAGUGGGUGGAUGUUCAAGGAGAGAAGUGUUCAACUCAAGAACACUUGAAGAUGCCUAGAAGAUUUUCGAGAAUCAAACACCAAAGUGAUGGAAUUUGUGUAAGCAUUGUAUGAUAUGAGUAAAGGGGAGUGUAAUAAUCAUAGAGAGGAUGAAUUAUACUUACCAAGAGAGUGAGAAAGCUUGAUAAUCAGCCUUGAAUCUCGAAAUUGGCGGGAGGAAGUUGGAGAGAAAAGGUUGUUUGAUCUUCUUGGUGAAAAUGAGGAAAAUGUGUGAAGUGAAGAGUGAAAGAGAGUUCUCCAGCUCUUUUAGACGUGGGUUGCUGGGAAAAGAGAGGGGUAAUGCCUUGAAGUGACUAGGAGUAGAGAGGAGUAUAAGGAUUGGUCAAAGGAGUGGGCAUGGGGUGGUGGUUUGUGUCAAAUAUUAUGGCAAGAUCCACACUCCACCUCAAGAUCUCACUUAAAAGAUUUUAUUCUCAAAUAAAUAUUUUCAUGAAAAUAUGCCCAAAUUAUGAUUAUUUAGGGUCUUAUAUGUUAAAAUAUGAUUUCUGGAGAAAAUCCCGUGUUAAAAUAAUUAAAAACGGACUUAAACUGGAGAAUUAGUCAAAAACCGGGUGAAAAACGUAAAAAUCCGAAGUCUAGGACCGGAGGCGCUAAGGCUCGGUCAUCAGCGGCCUUGGAACUGGAGUGGCUCGACUGCUGAGGAGGGUCUGAAGUGUGGCUCAGUCGCGGAUGCUGAAGGAAGGCGCUGCGGUCCGAGGGAGUCUGAUGCGGGGCUUGGGUCCGGGUCCGGUGGCUCCGGCUUUGUGGCUGUGGUCUUGACGGCUGCGGCUCUAGGUUUCGGCUCGGUGGCUGCGGCUACUCAAGGGGCCUCAGAUCUAAGAGGACUUGACCCUUAUGGGGAGGCUUCGGUCCUAAAGGGUAAUUUACAAGAUUUUUCCCUUCUUUGAGUGGUUCCUUAUCAAGCCAAGUAUCGGGAUGCCCCAAUUGAUUAUAAAAAUUUCAAGAGAGGUUCCGGGAGAGAUUUUGGAGAGAUUUUACAAUCUUGGAGAGAUUUUAUAAUCUUGGAGAGAUUUCACAUACAUAGAAAGAUUUGGGAGAGAUUUCACAUACUUGGAGAGAUUUCUCAUACUGAGAGAGAUUUGGGAGAGAUUUGUCAUACUUGGAGAGAUUUCUCAUACGGAGAGAGAUUUGGGAGAGAUUUCACAUACUUGGAGAGAUUUCUCAUACAGAGAGAGAUUUCACCUACUUGGAGAGAUUUCUCUUACGGAGAGAGAUCUGACAUACUUGGAGAGAUUUCUCAUACGGAGAGAGAUUUGGGAGAGAUUUCACAUACUUGGAGAGAUUUCUCAUACGGAGAGAGAUCUGGGAGAGAUUUGACAUACUUGGAGAGAUUUGGGAGAGAUUUUUGGAUAAAGAGAGAUAAAAUGAGAACAAUUGAGAGAGGUUUUGCGUGCGACAUUUGAGAGUGUUUGGCUCCGCAACGCAAGGUCCGUAAACCUCGUUAAGCCGGGUUUUAGGAUCUUACACACUCUCGAUGAGUAUGCAACACUGUUUUAUCGUUUUUGUUCAUUGUUUAGCACUACGGCUAAGGAAAAUUAUGAUGGGUUUUGAGCAUUCUAACACUUCCUAAGUGUACAUGCAACCCUAAUAACCUUGGAUCUAUGUUUGUCUAAUUAUCAUGCAAAGUUGAAUUUCCAAGGUUAUAUUCCUAUCUAGCAUACAUGGGGAACAAUUUUAACUUGAAUGAAAGAUAGAAUAACUUACCUUGUUGUUGCUUAUGUUCCUUGAAACCUUAUGAGCCUAGCACCCCAAGUGUGAUGCCUCAAAUGCUUCACACAACACCAAAUGCUCUUCGAAAGACCUUUGAGAUAAUACACACUUCUUAAAAUCGGCCAAGCCCUCUAGUUUCUUAUGUCUAGCCGAUUUUGGUGGAGAAUGGGAUCCUUAUAUAGUGUUGACACAUCUAGGGUUACACCAUGUAAACCCUAAUGUGUCAUGACUCUUCAUUUCCAUGACCCAUGGGUUUGUAACUCCCAUGGAGCAUCCUAUGGGUAGAACCCAACUUGAUAAUCCAUGGAGCCUCUUAGCCCACUAUACAAGAUAUGAAUGAUUUACAUAAUCAACCCAUAUAUUUAAUUAGUUAUCCUUUGAUUACUUAAUUAAUUCCAAAUUAAUUCUUUGAUCAAACUAAUCAAAUAAUAUUAUUAAUAUAUUAGAACUUAUAAUAUAUUAAUAAUCUCCAAGUGUUAUUUCUCUCAUUUAGUCUAUCCAAUUGCAUGGUGCCAUGCAACCCAAAUGGACCAUGCCGGGUCGGGUCAAGUACAAACCCGAAAUAGUUAUGGACUUAGACACCUUAUCCAACAGUCUCCCACUUGGAUAAGUCUAAUAACUAUAUCUCUAGUACUUCAGGAACCGACCGGCAAUCGUAGCUCUUUCAAGGUCUCUCGGAACUGAGAAGAUGAUGGUACGCCAUUUAAGAUAAGUGAUCAUAUAAUCCUCCGUUCUAGAUAUCAGCCGGACAAAUACAUGGAACAAUGUCUUACUUAUUGUCCAGCAGUUUGUUUCCCGAUUUCCGAUUUGUUUGACAAAGAACUUAAUUGAACACAUCAACUUAGUUCUGACCGGGCCCGGUACAUAGGUCAAAACAAAAUCAUCGAGGGGCCCAGAUAUCAGCUUCUAAUCCAAGAAGGAACAGAUAAACUUCGACUCAUAUGUUUGUUCUACCACUCAUUGAAUUACACACAAAAGUACGUUUUAUAACAUCGAGUUACCAAUGCGGUUUCGUACAGUCAAUGCAUAACCAACUUGUAAGUAACAAAUCAUAUCUCUAGGUUUGAAGACUUAUAUGAUAUUACCGUCUCACGAUCACUCGAGAUAGAAUUCCAUGAAGUGAUUCCAGUGAGCGUGGGUUGAGUCCAAUGCUCAGAACUUAUGAGCACUCAUGAUUGUUGUAGCCUUGUCCAACACCUUAGACCUCUGCAACCAAUCAUGACAGUCUUGAUUCAUACCUACUUCCGACAUAUGACCGACUGUGGAGGUUUGAAUAAUAUGUUAUACCAAACAAAAUUAUUCUGGAAGUCAAAACAUGCAAAAGAAAUAUAGUAAACGAUCGACAAGAGAUAGCAACACUUUACUCAUAAAUAAAACUCCUUUUAUUCAUCAUCUAAUGUCAAUUACACUUUACAAAUUUCUGGGUUAUCUAACUACUGAAUCUAAUAUCAUCCUUCAGCCCUAUGCUCCGAGCAUGCUGGAGAUGCUUAACCCGAGUCAGUCCCUUCGUGAGGGGAUCUGCUGGGUUCUCAUCCGAUGAUACCCUCUUUUCCACGAGGAGUCCUUCUUCUAUUCGAUGUCUGAUAAAAUGGUAUUUUCUGUCGACGUGUCUGGAUCUCCCGUGAUCCCUUGGUUCCUUGGCUAAGGCAACAACACUUUCACUAUCACAAAAAAUCUCCAUUGGCUCUUUGAUAGCUAGUACAACUCCAAGAUCUCCAAUGAAGUUCAUCAGCCAUAUCGCCUCCUUUGC